rnacentral:rRNA from 2 species
CACGCCCUAAACGAUGUCAACUAGUUGUCGGGUCUUAAUUGACUUGGUAACGCAGCUAACGCGUGAAGUUGACCGCCUGGGGAGUACGGCCGCAAGGUUAAAACUCAAAGGAAUUGACGGGGACCCGCACAAGCGGUGGAUGAUGUGGAUUAAUUCGAUGCAACGCGAAAAACCUUACCUGCGUUUGACAUGCUAGGAAGUCCGAAGAGAUUUGGAUGUGCUCGAAAGAGAGCCUAGACACAGGUGC